UACGGAGGGAGCUAGCGUUGUUCGGAAUUACUGGGCGUAAAGCGUGCGCAGGCGGUUUUGUAAGCCAGAUGUGAAAUCCCCGGGCUUAAACUGGGAAUGGCGUUUGGGACUGCAAGGCUCGAGUGCGGCAGAGGAGACUGGAAUUCCUGGUGUAGCAGUGAAAUGCGUAGAUAUCAGGAGGAACACCGAUGGCGAAGGCAGGUCUCUGGGCUGACACUGACGCUCAUGCACGAAAGCGUGGGGAGCAAACAGG
rnacentral:rRNA from 1 species